AGGACGAACGCUGGCGGCGUGCUUAACACAUGCAAGUCGAGCGGUAAGGCCCUUUCGGGGGUACACGAGCGGCGAACGGGUGAGUAACACGUGGGUGACCUGCCUUUAGCUCUUGGGAUAAGCCUGGGAAACUGGGUCUAAUACUGGAUAUGACUCCACGGUGCAUGUCGUGGGGUGGAAAGACCUUGUGCGGCUGAGGAUGGGCCCGCGGCCUAUCAGCUUGUUGGUGGGGUGAUGGCCUACCAAGGCGACGACGGGUAAGCCGGCCUGUAGAGGGCGACCGGCCACACUGGGGACUGAGACACGGCCCAGACUCCUACGGGAGGCAGCAGUGGGGAAUCUUGCGCAAUGGGCGAAAAGCCUGACGCAGCGACGCCGCGUGAGGGAU
rnacentral:rRNA from 1 species